UAAAAAAGAGGAAAGAAACGCAAGUAUUCUUGCGGUACAUGUCGUCCAUUUGCCGUUGUAAAUUUGUGGUACAAGCCGAAAAAGCAAUAUCGAAUUCGACCUUCGAGGUCCUGCCACUCCAGGGCAAAGCGAUACGCAUGCAAAAUUUCAUUCACGUAAGCGUCACGUACGGCUUAACGUUGCAAUAACAUUCCAAGAAUAAGUUGGGGUCCGAAAGUUCGCCGGUUCUUUGUUUCCUGCUGUUUCAACCGAAUAAAGAACGAAUUUAUUUUCGAGAAAAGAAAAUCGUUAGCUUGCGUCUGUCGAAUCGAAGAAUCGAGAAGCAAAUUAAGUGCCACGCUCGCGGCUACGAAGCGUGAAUAACGAAGCGCUUCGCUGUUAUUCGCUACGACCAAAUUAUUUUCGAGAAUCGCGAACCAUCGAUCCUUCAUCCUGUGACCUUUGGCAACGUUGAAAUUGCAAUUGUACAUCAAACCGCUCGUGCACAUGCCUUCCGUCACGGCGCUGCCUUUCCCACAAACUGAAAAUGGAUGACACGUGUAGUAGUCGCGGAACUUCCCAGGACGUACUUUCAGACAGCGGAACCGAUUCUACAUCGUUCAAGCAGGCGUAUCUUUGGGGUGCAUAAAUGCGUUUGAACGUAAAAGGCGUCUGAACGAAAGAAAAAGACGGAAAAGAAAUCUUCCCUGCGAAACUAAUUAUUUUUAGGGUUACUCUUAGCGGGCCCUUAUUCUCCAACCAACUAAACAGUCGUGUAAAAAAAAAGAAAAGCGAUUGCCUUGGAACAACGAGCGUCGAGCCGUGGCCGAAAUAGCCGUCGUUUUCGUGGCACGCCACGCUUAAUGUGUGAUUUAAACUCGAGACUGAAAAUAUAUUUUACAUUCGACGUCACGUACCGCCAAUUAGUAAGUAAGACACGCGGAUGGCGACGAGCAGACGAUGGACGUUGCGAGUGGCAAUUUUUCUGCGGCAAGAGCAACGCAUCCGGGUUAAAGUAUCGGACGGCCAAGUAGCUAUCGCACCUCGAAACGAGUUAUUAGAUCCCGCGUUCGAGAAAGAAUUCGUCGCUCGAGAAUACCGGAGGUAAUAAGCAACCGUGUCCGAGAUAAAAGCGCAACGAUUUAUUCUGUUAUGAAAUUUUGCCGAGAAAUCGAGAAAAAACGCGUAUCGCCGAGGCACGCGGAGAUUCCCACGCCAGGUGCGCUGCUGGAUCGUCCCCACGAAUUCUCGUGUUCCAUUGCUAAUAGAUUCGACAGAAGCCGACGAAAAGUUUCCUCGUGAGCAAACGGAACGAAGAAAACGCCGACGAAUUCUUCUCGACGAGGUCGUGUAAUUGCAGGUAGGUAGGGUCGGGCUUGGGAUAGAUGGUCGACGCGAAGGCACCGAACGUUGCAUCGAUCGGAUUGGCAAAGGAAGCGCAAUGCCGAGGAGCUCGUUGAGGAUAUUCGAGAAGGGCCAAGUAACAGAGGUGGUUCGGGCGUUCGAGAAAUAUUCGACUCGUCGGCGAUCAUUGUGGUGACGUCGUGAAUUUUCUUCGAAAAACGAGAGGACAGACCGGCUACGUAGAGAGGUACGUACGAGGCCGAGCCUUCACCUCGAUCGCGGUGUACGCGGCGCACACGUACAGGUAAACGUACGUAGACAGGUACGCGAGCGAAACGACCGGUGAGCGAGGACAGAAGAGAAGAGAGAAGAGAAGGGAAAAGAAGACAGAGGAAAGAAAAAGAGGGACAAGACGAGACGAGACACGUGGAAACGUGCAAAACGCAGAAGAGAGAACAGGAGGAAGAGGAGAAACGGAGAAGGAGAGGAUGUGAAAGGAAAGAGAAAAAGGAGGGUGGGAAGGAGGGAAAAGGAGGAGGCGCGAGAGAUCGGUAGAGGGGUCAUUGGUUGUUCGUUGCGCACUCUCAACGUAUAGGAAUCGUUAUGGACCGACUAUAGCCGUUGGAAUGCGUCCUUUUUUCCCUUUUUCUGUCUCCCUAUAUACCUGGCGGGCUACUCUCGCUCCGUUGUGGCGACGACGUUGGCGGUGGCGGUGGCGAUGGCGGUGGCGGUGGCGGUGGCGGUGGCGGUGGCGGUGACGGUGGCGGCAACCACGGCGGCGAACCUCUUGCGGACAAUCUCGUCGGCCGGCGACCGGUAUAGCCGCGACCGGCCCGCAGGAAAGAAACUACGAUUCGACUCGAUGGAUCCGCGCUCCUUCGAACGUUCGGGUUCGAGUCGCCGACACGCACCGGCCAACGACACGACGACAGCCAUAGACAGCGAAGAAGAGGGCUUCGAGCAUCGAACGUCGCGUCGUACAUCGUGCCGAACAGAGGAAUUGGAAAUUGGAGCGUCCAAACUGACAGUGAAGAAAGUGAGAAAAACGAGACGAUGGGGCGACCCACUGGCGAACGAAACGCAACCUCCUCUCGAAGAAUCGACGAGGAUCUUGGAGGAGAAAAAGUGGGAAAAAGGCACGCGGGUCAACGGAUACCUAUAAAACGAUAGAGACAAGAGGGGAAUAUACGAGACGCCGCGCCGCGUGGAAGGAUCGUGAACUCGCGGCAAACCAGAAGAGUAUUCGGGAACGAGGAGAACGAGAAGAACGAGAUGCCGGCGUGAGGAAAGGCAAACGAGGCAACACGAUAAAGAACGAAUCAACCAGGUAGAAAGACAGGGAUGCCGCGGUAAAGUUGCGAGAGAGCCGGCCAAACGAGAAGACCGACCAAAGAAGGAGAGGGAGAAGAAGAGAACGAUAGAAGACGGAUGUAUAUAGGUAGGAGGACAGGUAGUCGGCUCGAGGAAAGAAGAGACCGAGUGAAGAGCACACGGGGGAAAGAAGAGACGAAAGAAAAGGGAAGGUCCGUGAGGGGGAGUGGAGCGGUAAGCAGCGAAAUGGAGCGGGGUAGAAAGCAGAGGGGUAAGGUGAGGAAAGGAAAGAGAAGAGAGAGACUCGUUCGAGAGAGAAUCUCGUACGUAUACCGGCAGUUCGGUUUGAUGACGUCACGACGUCGAUUUGAACGGACCAAUGAGCGUUCGAAGCGAAGCUGAAGAGGUAAAGAGGAUGUAGAGGGGACUGAACAGGCCGAAAGGACCCCGAGGGGGGCAACGAGCUCUAGGUUCCGGAGUUCGAGGGGGCAGGGGUAACGCGAAAGGUGCGUGCGGCCCCGGACGUGGGGCGCGGGGCCAGUUGAUCAGUGAGUGCGGUAGUGAUCUCAUCUCGUACCGCGCCAGGUGUGACUCCUCUCUUUCCUCUUCUUUUGAUCCGAGUCUAUGUGCCCUUGGUAAGACGGAGCAAGCAGUAGCGGACUUAAAAUUCACGUAUCGACUCGGCCGUGUCCUCGACUCCGAGCAACAGGAGAGACAGUAAACAGAGGAAACUAGCUUUCGUAGAGGUGCGUCGAUCACGAGUAAUCACGAGACGCGAAAGAUAUUUUGGGAAAUAACGAGGAAAAUCCCGCGAAUCUUCUCGUCGAGAGGCUUCUUUUUUUCGCGCCUUUGGAUCCGUUGCAGCGCGGCAGGGAAGUUAAAUCAAGCUCGAUAACUACAUUCGAAGUGAUAAUGACUAUAAGUGAAGCGACAUUAGCCCCGAUUAUCUCAAGUACUCGUACAGCUGUGUUUGCGUAAACGAUUGGAAGUCGCAUCGGAAGCCGACCUCGUUAGGAAACCAAUUUACCACACGGGUACACGGGUUCGAAACGUUAGCUCGUGAAAUUUCUGUCCACCGGCCUGUUAACGUCCUGUCGUCAUGAUUUUUCACUGCGGGGGUAAGUUAGCGAUUUAGGAAACACGCGUGUCGACGCGUAACAGCCACGAACAGGAUCUCUGAUCGUUGCGCAACGAAUUCAGGAACGAAACGGAACGGAAAAGUUCUCGAUAAAACGUACGGUCAAUAAGACGUAUCGUGCAAAGACCCUGCAAUGCCACGGUUGGACACCAGAUUGUUAAUUAAAUCGUAAACUGUUAAUCAGACCGUUAAACCGACCAGCGUUGAGAUUCAACACCGAAAAUAUUUUUCAGCCUCGAGCAACGGUCACCGAUUCCUGCAAGAAAUCUUCCUCGUUACUGCACAAUUCUUAGCCACGUCUCAACGAGCAAUUUUGGUAACGAGCUACGAUCGCUCCUACGGAUUUUGGUUUUCGGCACUGCCGUUUUUCCUACGAGAAAGUACGACAAUUACAUAGGUUAGCUGCUAACAACAAGCCGUGACGAACAAAUGGAACGAAUCGAAGGUCGGCUUAUCAUGAAAGAUAGGUACUCACUCAUAUUUGCUGUAGGUACGUGACGAUGGACUUGUACAACUUGGAUAAGCCAUUUCAGCGGCAAAGUAGGCUAGAAAUCUCAGUUUCCUUUGUUGCUGUAGCAGCUUUCAACAGGGAGAAAAAAUAAAGAAAAUUGAGUUUUAGAAAGUCGGGGAUUAUCGUUGAAUCGAGUCUAAAUCUUUCUGAUCAGUCUUCCUGUUACGCUCGAUACGAGAGCGAACCAGAAAUAGACCGGCAGUUUUUCAGAGUGGGGACACCAUCGACACGUGCAUGCCAUUAUCUGCACCGGGAAAUAGCGGAUUUUCGAUCGAGAGGGAGACGCUCGCUCGUAUAAACAGCCAUUAACGAUCGAUCCGUAUGUUUACCGAUUUUUACGAUCUCGAGAAUAGAAGGCCCGACAUUAUCGGAUGAAUAGGCCGGCAGCAAAGAAGAUUUUCGAUUCUCGACGGUUUGAUUGCCUGGCAAGACUAAACUUGCAAGUAUUUCAACGCUCCAGGCAACAAGAAGAUCUUGGCGCGGACAUUUUCUUUGGUUAUCUAGCUGUAUGAGUAUUAUUCGACAUCAUAAAGCUAGGUUACCGGAGUUAAGCUCCUCGCCAUAUCAACUCCACCGAUUCUUCGUCGCCGUUUCGAUUUGCUACUCAAGUAACCGGAAACCGAUGAACGUAAAAAUGACUGAAAUCUUUAAAUACAUAUAACCAUAAGUAUUAAAAAAGAUCAUAUAUAUAUAUAUAUAUAUUGUAAAUAAAUAUAAAUCUUCAGAAAGAAAGAAUAAAAAUAUUUUCUAAAACCCCAGAA